GACGAACGCUGGCGGCGUGCUUAACACAUGCAAGUCGAACGGAAAGGCCCUUCUUUUUUGGGGUGCUCGAGUGGCGAACGGGUGAGUAACACGUGAGUAACCUGCCCUUGACUUUGGUAUAACUUCAGGAAACUGGGGCUAAUACCGGAUAGGAGCUCCUGCUGCAUUGUGGGGGUUGGAAUGUUUCGGCGGUUGGGGAUGGACUCGCGGCUUUUCAGCUUGUUGGUGGGGUAGUGGCUUACCAAGGCUUUGAAGGGUAGCCGGCCUGAGAGGGUGACCGGCCACAUUGGGACUGAGAUACGGGCCAGAAGCCUAGGGGAGGCAGCAGUGGGGAAAAUUGCACAGUGGGCGGAAGGCUGAUGCAGCAACGCCGCGUGCGGGAUGAAGGCCUUCGGGUUGUAAACCGCUUUCGCCUGUGACGAAGCGUGAGUGACGGUAAUGGGUAAAGAAGCACCGGCUAACUACGUG
rnacentral:rRNA from 1 species